CCUUUCGCCUUCUUUCUUCUUCUUCUGCU
rnacentral:sRNA from 1 species